GGGGGAGGCGGGAAAGCCUUUACGGCGAGGGAUGGGCCCGCGGCCUGUUAGCUCGUUGGUGGGGUAACGGCCCACCAAGGCGAUUAUGGGUAGCUGGGUUGAGAGACCGACCAGCCAGAUUGGGACUGAGACACGGCCCAAACUCCUACGGGAGGCAGCAGUGGGGAAUCUUGCACAAUGGGCGAAAGCCUGAUGCAGCGACGCCGCGUGCGGGAUGAAGGCCUUCGGGUUGUAAACCGCUUUCAGUGGGGACGAGGCCGCGAGGUGACGGUACCCACAGAAGAAGCCCCGGCUAACUACGUGCCAGCAGCCGCGGUAAUACGUAGGGGGCAAGCGUUAUCCGGAUUCAUUGGGCGUAAAGCGCUCGUAGGCGGUCCGUUAGGUCGGGAGUUAAAUCCGGGGGCUCAACCCCCGCCCGCUCCCGAUACCGGCGGACUUGAGUUUGGUAGGGGAAAGUGGAAUUCCCAGUGUAGCGGUGGAAUGCGCAGAUAUUGGGAAGAACACCAGUGGCGAAGGCGGCUUUCUGGGCCACAACUGACGCUGAGGAGCGAAAGCUAGGGGAGCGAACAGGAUUAGAUAC
rnacentral:rRNA from 1 species